rnacentral:rRNA from 1 species
GACGGUAACAGCCCGGUAGUUGAAAUGGCUUUCCCUCCAGAGUGGAUCCUGAGUACGGCGGAACACGUGAAAUUCCGUCGGAAUCCGGGAGGACCAUCUCCCAAGGCUAAAUACUCCCUAGUGACCGAUAGUGAACCAGUACCGUGAGGGAAAGGUGAAAAGCACCCCGGAAGGGGAGUGAAACAGUUCCUGAAACCGUGUGCCUACAAGUAGUUAGAGCCCGUUAAUGGGUGAUAGCGUGCCUUUUGUAGAAUGAACCGGCGAGUUACGAUUUGUUGCAAGGUUAAGCGGAAAAAGCGGAGCCGUAGCGAAAGCGAGUCUGAAUAGGGCGCAUAAGUAACAGGUCGUAGACCCGAAACCAGGUGAUCUACCCAUGUCCAGGAUGAAGGUAAGGUAAUACUUACUGGAGGUCCGAACCCACGCACGUUGAAAAGUGCGGGGAUGAGGUGUGGGUAGCGGAGAAAUUCCAAUCGAACUUGGAGAUAGCUGGUUCUCUCCGAAAUAGCUUUAGGGCUAGCCUCGAGGUAAAGAGU